rnacentral:tRNA from 1 species
GGAGAGGUGGCCGAGUGGUUUAAGGUACACGCUUGGAAAGCGUGCGUACGGCUUCAACCGUACCGCGGGUUCGAAUCCCGCCCUCUCCGCCA